rnacentral:rRNA from 1 species
UACGAAGGGGGCUAGCGUUGUUCGGAGUUACUGGGCGUAAAGGGCGCGUAGGCGGCCCUCCAAGUCGGGCGUGAAAGCCCACGGCUCAACCGUGGAAUUGCGCUCGAGACUGAAGGGCUCGAGGACGGGAGAGGAUGGUGGAAUUCCCAGUGUAGAGGUGAAAUUCGUAGAUAUUGGGAAGAACACCGGGUGGCGAAGGCGGCCAACUGGACGGUGACUGACACUGAGACGCGGAAAGCGUGGGGAGCAAACAGG